GGAAAAGGUUCAAGCCGGCGCCUGAGGCGGCUUUGGAGACAGUUCGGGAUGAAAUCUGGGGGAAAACCUGCCCAAACGGGGCUCGGAGCGAGACAAAGGACACCUGCACCGAGUGCCGCCUUUUCCCGCCAAUGUCACCUCAGGAGCCAAGAUGGCGUCGGGGAGAGUAGUCAGCGUUACCGCCAAAAAUCCGCGGCCCUUCCUGAGGGGAAAAAUACAUGUGUUUGAAAUUCCUUUGCCCCAAAGACGUUUUUCUGUAGCUGUUGUGUUCAGAGCUGUAAUUCACUCACAAAAAAAAAAAAAAAAAAAAAAGCGCCAAAAAACUCCAACCCAACCAACCAUAAAAAACCACAGCCCAAAACACCAAAAAACCCCACAUCCUCACCACACACACACACACACACAGAACCCUCAAAAAACAAAAGAUCCCCAUACAUUUCAAAAUAAAGAAUUGUGAUUAACCCCUCUGAAUUCUUAAAGUGACUAACCUUACAGUUGUGUUAGUUAUAGAUCCCAGAGCACAGUCUGGAAAUGGGAGUGUGGCAACAGCCUCCAGAGAUGCCAAAUCCAAGAUCAGGCUCCUGUCCAGCAGCUGAAGAGGCUCCUCCAUCAGACUAUUUCUCACUUUCCUCCUCGACAAGGACAAUGCUGAUGAGAAAUUGUACCUGUGACUGUUCCAGGAAAGCUCCCCAGCAGUGCUCCACACCACCAUGGCCAGGUGCUGCUGGAUGUCCUGAGCUGCCAUAACCCGAGUCUGGCUCACUGUUCUUCAGGAAACUCCUUUGGACGAGCUUGGGGAUCAAGGUGGGUGUAAUCUUUGAUCUGGAGGAGGGAUUUUACAGGAGGAAUAAGGAGAUGGGCUGAUGACAUCAAACAAACCACCCAGCUGGUCCCAUGUGACGAUCCUGGUGGGGCACCUGUGUCUCUCAGCCUAUUUUAGGGCAGCACCAGCCCUCUUUCCCCUUUCUCCUGGUUUCCUGAGGGCUCUGUGCUGCUCUGCUCCCUGAUGUCCCAGCACUCUGUGUUUCCUGGGAGUGGAAGAUGGACUCAAGCAUGAGAGGUAGGUGCAAGUAGGACAGAGGAUUGAACAAUUGUCAGAGGAGAUUUUUAUUUUCCAGGAGAAUUAUUUGGGUAUGAUAGUAAUUAAAAUGUUUGUGUAUAUGCAGCCUGUAUGUCAUGCUCAUACUUUUCUCUUUUGAGGGGUAAACUUCUAAGCCAUUUGAAUUAUGUUUUUUAUUGCUAUGAAAUCUGAAAUUAGUGAAGAACUUCAGGAAAGCAGUUGCUAUUUUUUUUUUUUGCAGUUACAACAGAAAACAACAGGAGCAGAAUAAUAAAGAAAAUACUUUGGUCUGUGA